GCGUCUGUAGCCUAGUUGGUAAAGGCAGCACUCUAGUAUGUGUCUCAGUUAGCUGAGGUCAUGAGUUCGACUCUCACCAGACACA
rnacentral:tRNA from 1 species